AUAGAGUCAAGUGAAUAAGUGCAUCAGGCGGAUGCCUUGGCGAUGAUAGGCGACGAAGGACGUGUAAGCCUGCGAAAAGCGCGGGGGAGCUGGCAAUAAAGCUAUGAUUCCGCGAUGUCCGAAUGGGGAAACCCACUGCAUUCUGUGCAGUAUCCUAAGUUGAAUACAUAGGCUUAGAGAAGCGAACCCGGAGAACUGAACCAUCUAAGUACCCGGAGGAAAAGAAAUCAACCGAGAUUCCGCAAGUAGUGGCGAGCGAACGCGGAGGAGCCUGUACGUAAUAACUGUCGAGAUAGAAGAACAAGCUGGGAAGCUUGACCAUAGCGGGUGACAGUCCCGUAUUCGAAAUCUCAACAGCGGUACUAAGCGUACGAAAAGUAGGGCGGGACACGUGAAAUCCUGUCUGAAUAUGGGGGGACCAUCCUCCAAGGCUAAAUACUCAUCAUCGACCGAUAGUGAACCAGUACCGUGAGGGAAAGGCGAAAAGAACCCCGGGAGGGGAGUGAAACAGAACCUGAAACCUGAUGCAUACAAACAGUGGGAGCGCCCUAGUGGUGUGACUGCGUACCUUUUGUAUAAUGGGUCAACGACUUACAUUCAGUAGCGAGCUUAACCGGAUAGGGGAGGCGUAGGGAAACCGAGUCUUAAUAGGGCGAUGAGUUGCUGGGUGUAGACCCGAAACCGAGUGAUCUAUCCAUGGUCAGGUUGAAGGUGCCGUAACAGGUACUGGAGGACCGAACCCACGCAUGUUGCAAAAUGCGGGGAUGAGCUGUGGGUAGGGGUGAAAGGCUAAACAAACUCGGAGAUAGCUGGUUCUCCCCGAAAACUAUUUAGGUAGUGCCUCGAGCAAGACACUGAUGGGGGUAAAGCACUGUUAUGGCUAGGGGGUUAUUGCAACUUACCAACCCAUGGCAAACUCAGAAUACCAUCAAGUGGUUCCUCGGGAGACAGACAGCGGGUGCUAACGUCCGUUGUCAAGAGGGAAACAACCCAGACCGCCGGCUAAGGUCCCAAAUGAUAGAUUAAGUGGUAAACGAAGUGGGAAGGCACAGACAGCCAGGAUGUUGGCUUAGAAGCAGCCAUCAUUUAAAGAAAGCGUAAUAGCUCACUGGUCGAGUCGUCCUGCGCGGAAGAUGUAACGGGGCUCAAAUCUAUAACCGAAGCUGCGGAUGCCGGUUUACCGGCAUGGUAGGGGAGCGUUCUGUAGGCUGAUGAAGGUGCAUUGUAAAGUGUGCUGGAGGUAUCAGAAGUGCGAAUGUUGACAUGAGUAGCGAUAAAGCGGGUGAAAAGCCCGCUCGCCGAAAGCCCAAGGUUUCCUACGCAACGUUCAUCGGCGUAGGGUAAGUCGGCCCCUAAGGCGAGGCAGAAAUGCGUAGUCGAUGGGAAACAGGUUAAUAUUCCUGUACUUGAUUCAAAUGCGAUGUGGGGACGGAGAAGGUUAGGUUGGCAAGCUGUUGGAAUAGCUUGUUUAAGCCGGUAGGUGGAAGACUUAGGCAAAUCCGGGUUUUCUUAACACCGAGAAGUGAUGACGAGUGUCUACGGACACGAAGCAACCGAUACCACGCUUCCAGGAAAAGCCACUAAGCUUCAGUUUGAAUCGAACCGUACCGCAAACCGACACAGGUGGGCAGGAUGAGAAUUCUAAGGCGCUUGAGAGAACUCGGGAGAAGGAACUCGGCAAAUUGAUACCGUAACUUCGGGAGAAGGUAUGCCCUCUAAGGUUAAGGACUUGCUCCGUAAGCCCCGGAGGGUCGCAGAGAAUAGGUGGCUGCGACUGUUUAUUAAAAACACAGCACUCUGCCAACACGAAAGUGGACGUAUAGGGUGUGACGCCUGCCCGGUGCCGGAAGGUUAAUUGAAGAUGUGCAAGCAUCGGAUCGAAGCCCCGGUAAACGGCGGCCGUAACUAUAACGGUCCUAAGGUAGCGAAAUUCCUUGUCGGGUAAGUUCCGACCCGCACGAAUGGCGUAACGAUGGCCACACUGUCUCCUCCCGAGACUCAGCGAAGUUGAAGUGGUUGUGAAGAUGCAAUCUACCCGCUGCUAGACGGAAAGACCCCGUGAACCUUUACUGUAGCUUUGCAUUGGACUUUGAAGUCACUUGUGUAGGAUAGGUGGGAGGCUUGGAAGCAGAGACGCCAGUCUCUGUGGAGUCGUCCUUGAAAUACCACCCUGGUGUCUUUGAGGUUCUAACCCAGACCCGUCAUCCGGGUCGGGGACCGUGCAUGGUAGGCAGUUUGACUGGGGCGGUCUCCUCCCAAAGCGUAACGGAGGAGUUCGAAGGUUACCUAGGUCCGGUCGGAAAUCGGACUGAUAGUGCAAUGGCAAAAGGUAGCUUAACUGCGAGACCGACAAGUCGGGCAGGUGCGAAAGCAGGACAUAGUGAUCCGGUGGUUCUGUAUGGAAGGGCCAUCGCUCAACGGAUAAAAGGUACUCCGGGGAUAACAGGCUGAUUCCGCCCAAGAGUUCAUAUCGACGGCGGAGUUUGGCACCUCGAUGUCGGCUCAUCACAUCCUGGGGCUGUAGUCGGUCCCAAGGGUAUGGCUGUUCGCCAUUUAAAGUGGUACGUGAGCUGGGUUUAAAACGUCGUGAGACAGUUUGGUCUCUAUCUGCAGUGGGCGUUGGAAGUUUGACGGGGGCUGCUCCUAGUACGAGAGGACCGGAGUGGACGAACCUCUGGUGUACCGGUUGUAACGCCAGUUGCAUAGCCGGGUAGCUAAGUUCGGAAGAGAUAAGCGCUGAAAGCAUCUAAGCGCGAAACUCGCCUGAAGAUGAGACUUCCCUUGCGGUUUAACCGCACUAAAGGGUCGUUCGAGACCAGGACGUUGAUAGGUGGGGUGUGGAAGCGCGGUAACGCGUGAAGCUAACCCAUACUAAUUGCCCGUGAGGCUUGACUCUAU
rnacentral:rRNA from 1 species